rnacentral:rRNA from 1 species
ACCCGCUGAACUUAAGCAUAUCAAUAAGCGGAGGAAAAGAAACCAACAGGGAUUGCCUCAGUAACGGCGAGUGAAGCGGCAAGAGCUCAAAUUUGAAAUCUGAUACCUUCGGUGUCCGAGUUGUAAUUUGAAGAGGAGUCUUCGGUUUGGGUCGUGGCCUAUGUUCCUUGGAACAGGACGUCGUAGAGGGUGAGAAUCCCGUACACGGCUGACGAUCUCUUACCAUGUGAAGUUCCUUCGAAGAGUCGAGUUGUUUGGGAAUGCAGCUCUAAAUGGGUGGUAAAUUUCAUCUAAAGCUAAAUACCGGCGAGAGACCGAUAGCGCACAAGUAGAGUGAUCGAAAGAUGAAAAGCACUUUGAAAAGAGAGUUAAACAGUACGUGAAAUUGUUGAAAGGGAAGCGCUUGCAAUCAGACUUGCCUUUGGUCGAUCAACGUUCCUUCUGGUUCGUGCACUCGGCCUUCGGCAGGCCAGCAUCGGUUCGGACGGUGGGAUAAAGGCUUCGGGAAUGUGGCUCUCUUCGGGGAGUGUUAUAGCCUGAGGUGCAAUGCCGCCUGACCGGACCGAGGACCGCGCUUCGGCUAGGAUGCUGGCGUAAUGGUUGUAAGCGACCCGUCUUGAAACACGG